AGGAAGUGUCUGUGGUCAUUGCUAGGAUAGUGAUCGGUGUGUUUCGUUAGUUGGAUUUGUGAUAUCCAAAAUCAUUAACAAUCAAGAUUGCCAUGAGUAAUGUUCAAUUUUACCAAUUUCAACCACUUUUAUCAACUCACAAUCGACUGCACAUCCUCGGCGGAGGAGGAAAACGUUGCAGCAGUCGAAGCACAAAGCAGUUUCAGACUGGUGCAUUUGUGAGGAAUGGCCACAACAAAAAGAUGAAGAAAGAAAAUCUUGCCUUAUUAUGCACAAAUUAAAAAUAAUGUAGAGGAGGACCAGACGUGCAUUACCAGCCAUGAAG